CGACUACAUCCCGUUGAAACACCGACUCGCGUAUAAUCACCAAUGUUAAGCAAAGUUGAGCCUGGUCAUUACUUAGAUGGGUGACCGUUUGGGAAUUCUAGGUGCUA